UGAGAAGUUGUUAAUAAUCUAAACUUUUUAUUUUUUUGCUGUGAAAGGCAGGAGCUCUGCCAUGCAAUAUUAGAAGGGGAAAACCAAGUAUAUGUACAUGCGACCGAGGUCGAAAGAAGAAAAAAAGGCAAAAACGAAACAGAGAAAGACUAUCCCAACGGACCAAACGCAGCUAGCCGGUAGGACGGACAGAAACAACCGAAGAACCACAAGAAACCUCACGGCACGGUCACAC
rnacentral:lncRNA from 1 species